rnacentral:rRNA from 1 species
GAACGCUGGCGGCGUGCUUAACACAUGCAAGUCGAGCGAUGAAGUUUCCUUCGGGAAACGGAUUAGCGGCGGACGGGUGAGUAACACGUGGGUAACCUGCCUCAUAGAGUGGAAUAGCCUUCCGAAAGGAAGAUUAAUACCGCAUAAUGUUGAAAGAUGGCAUCAUCAUUCAACCAAAGGAGCAAUCCGCUAUGAGAUGGACCCGCGGCGCAUUAGCUAGUUGGUGGGGUAACGGCCUACCAAGGCGACGAUGCGUAGCCGACCUGAGAGGGUGAUCGGCCACAUUGGGACUGAGACACGGCCCAGACCCCUACGGGAGGCAGCAGUGGGGAAUAUUGCACAAUGGGGGAAACCCUGAUGCAGCAACGCCGCGUGAGUGAUGAAGGUUUUCGGAUCGUAAAGCUCUGUCUUUGGGGAAGAUAACGACGGUACCCAAGGAGGAAGCCACGGCUAACUACGUGCCAGCAGCCGCGGUAAUACGUAGGUGGCGAGCGUUAUCCGGAUUUACUGGGCGUAAAGGGAGCGUAGGCGGAUGAUUAAGUGGGAUGUGAAAUACCCGGGCUCAACUUGGGUGCUGCAUUCCAAACUGGUUAUCUAGAGUGCAGGAGAGGAGAGUGGAAUUCCUAGUGUAGCGGUGAAAUGCGUAGAGAUUAGGAAGAACACCAGUGGCGAAGGCGACUCUCUGGACUGUAACUGACGCUGAGGCUCGAAAGCGUGGGGAGCAAACAGGAUUAGAUACCCUGGUAGUCCACGCCGUAAACGAUGAAUACUAGGUGUGGGGGUUUCAACACCUCCGUGCCGCCGCUAACGCAUUAAGUAUUCCGCCUGGGGAGUACGGUCGCAAGAUUAAAACUCAAAGGAAUUGACGGGGACCCGCACAAGUAGCGGAGCAUGUGGUUUAAUUCGAAGCAACGCGAAGAACCUUACCUACACUUGAUAUCCCUUGCAUUACUCUUAAUCGAGGAAAUCCCUUCGGGGACAAGGUGACAGGUGGUGCAUGGUUGUCGUCAGCUCGUGUCGUGAGAUGUUGGGUUAAGUCCCGCAACGAGCGCAACCCUUGUCGUUAGUUACUACCAUUAAGUUGAGGACUCUAGCGAGACUGCCUGGGUUAACCAGGAGGAAGGUGGGGAUGACGUCAAAUCAUCAUGCCCCUUAUGUGUAGGGCUACACACGUGCUACAAUGGCUGGUACAGAGAGAUGCAAUACCGCGAGGUGGAGCCAAACUUAAAAACCAGUCUCAGUUCGGAUUGUAGGCUGAAACUCGCCUACAUGAAGCUGGAGUUACUAGUAAUCGCGAAUCAGAAUGUCGCGGUGAGUACGUUCCCGGGUCUUGUACACACCGCCCGUCACACCAUGAGAGUUGGCAAUACCCGAAGUCCGUGAGCCAACCGCAAGGAGGCAGCGGCCGAAGGUAGGGUCAGCGAUUGG